UGGCCUUGGGAAGCAGCCUUGGCGGUGCCUCAGCCAUGGCCUGGACCCUUCUCCUCCUCGGCCUCCUCGCUCACUGCACAGGCUCUGUGGCCUCCUAUGAUGUGACUCAGCCACGCUCAGUGUCAGUGUCCCCAGGACAGACGGCCAGGAUCACCUGUGGGGGAGACAACAUUGGAAGUAAAAGUGUGCAGUGGUACCAGCAGAAGCCAGCGCAGGCCCCUGUGCUUGUCAUCUAUGCUGAUAGCGAACGGCCCUCAGGGAUCCCUGAGCGAUUCUCUGGCUCCAACUCAGGGAACACGGCCACCCUGACCAUCAGCGGG